rnacentral:sRNA from 1 species
GGAAAAGCUCCCUCAGACGUGGGCACCAAGGAACAGGUAGAAGAUCACUGUCAUUUUCCUGUUGUGUUUUCUGCAGAAUGAAUAUAUGAAAGAUGAUUUCUUCAUUAAAAUCGAAACAUGGCACAAACCAGACUUGGGAACAUUAGAAAAUGUACAUGGUUUAGAUCCAAACACAUGGAAAACUGUUGAAAUUGUCCAUAUAGAUAUUGCAGAUAGAAGUCAAGUUGAACCAGCAGUAAGUAUUACUCAAUGACAUUUAACCUGUUCCCUUUUACAGUUAAAAAUUAUUUUCUACUAUCACAUUUGGGAUUAAGUUAAAAAAAUUAUUUCCUUUCUUUCUUGUAUGGCCUACAUUUCUAUGCCGAAGUGAGCUUGGAGUGUAGUCUAGUACGUCUGUGCAGCAAAGAGACCAGAGUAAGAGAGAAGGCGAUUUGUUUUCUGUGUAGAUUUUGGCUUUGUGCAAGUGAUCCCUUUAAGAAAUCCCAGUAUACCUGGGAAAUGUAGGUUGUUUUCAUUGAAAAACAAAAAACACAUUGUUUACAAAAUAAUUCUCCCUCGAGCUAGGUCCCUUUUACUUUUCAAAUGUGAUUAAGAAAGCAAAAAUUUAAUUUGCAUACAAGUAUUUAGUA